GAGUGGCGAACGGGUGAGUAACACGUGGGUGAUCUGCCCUGCACUUCGGGAUAAGCCUGGGAAACUGGGUCUAAUACCGGAUAGGAGCCAUUUUUAGUGUGAUGGUUGGAAAGUUUUUUCGGUGUAGGAUGAGCUCGCGGCCUAUCAGCUUGUUGGUGGGGUAAUGGCCUACCAAGGCGGCGACGGGUAGCCGGCCUGAGAGGGUGGACGGCCACAUUGGGACUGAGAUACGGCCCAGACUCCUACGGGAGGCAGCAGUGGGGAAUAUUGCACAAUGGGCGCAAGCCUGAUGCAGCGACGCCGCGUGGGGGAUGACGGCCUCCGGGUUGUAAACUCCUUUCGCUAGGGACGAAGCUUUUUGUGACGGUACCUAGAUAAGAAGCACCGGCUAACUACGUGCCAGCAGCCGCGGUAAUACGUAGGGUGCGAGCGUUGUCCGGAAUUACUGGGCGUAGAGGGCUCGUAGGUGGUUUGUCGCGUCGUCUGUGAAAUUCCGGGGCUUAACUCCGGGCGUGCAGGCGAUACGGGCAUAACUUGAGUACUGUAGGGGUAACUGGAAUUCCUGGUGUAGCGGUGAAAUGCGCAGAUAUCAGGAGGAACACCGAUGGCGAAGGCAGGUUACUGGGCAGUUACUGACGCUGAGGAGCGAAAGCAUGGGUAGCGAACAGGAUUAGAUACCCUGGUAGUCCAUGCCGUAAACGGUGGG
rnacentral:rRNA from 1 species